rnacentral:pre_miRNA from 1 species
ACCAUUGAGCCAUCUUUCCAGCCCUUAUAAUCACUCUUAAAAAUUAAUUUUAGGGGGUUGGAAAGAUGGCUCAGUGUU